UGUAUGUGUGUAUGUCUGUGUAUGUGUGGAUGUCUGUGUAUGUGUGGAUGUCUGUGUAUGUGUGGAUGUCUGUUUGUGGAUGUGUGGAUGUCUGUUUGUGGAUGUGUGGAUGUCUGUUUGUGGAUGUCUGUGGAUGUGUGGAUGUCUGUUUGUGGAUGUGUGGAUGUCUGUUUGUGGAUGUGUGGAUGUCUGUGGAUGUGUGG